UUUCAAUAAUGAACGAAUAACUAAAGAAAAGUUUAUUUGGAAAUACCCUGUAUAGUAAAGAAACAUAUUUGUGUAUGGAAAAGAUCGUUUGUGAACGGAUAUGUAGAAUUUUCGGCCCUUUAAUAUGUUCUAAAUUUUAGCAAUUAUUUAAAAAGAAGUAGAUAGUGACUCAGACAACAACACGUACAAAUUUCCUUUCUUUGUUGAUUAGUUUUAUUACCGAACACCCUGUAUUAAUAUUAGAUGGCAAAUCUUUGUGCUUCCCCUGUAACGCGACGAUGUUGCCGCAUUUUCACAGCACUUUUAUGGAUUCUUGGCGUGUCUUGGGUUUUGGUGACAUAAAUGUUUAGAAGACGGCUGAACCCGCCUAACCUAAUUAAUUUGAAAUACUUUUCCAAACGCUAAAAGAAAUCGCUUUUAGUAAUGAAUAGAUCAACUAAUUGUAUGAACAGACUGAGACGAUUCUACAGUGUUAAGACUCCGUUUCAAUUAGUCAGCCCUUUAAAAGCUUUAGUGCCGGAAACGCCUUAUAAGUCUAAAAUUAUUAGCCCGAAAGCGCCCCCGAAAGUGAACAUUGACGGCGAAACAAUAGCCUUACUAGAAAGGUUGUCUUUGGUGGAUUGUGCAAAUAAGAAGGGCAUUGAGACUUUGGAGGCUGCCAUCGAAUUCGCUGAUAAAAUCCACCAAGUUGAUACUACCGGCGUUGAGCCCCUUAUUACAGUCCUGGAAGAUUUCCCUCUUCGAUUAAGGGAUGAUCAAAUUAAUGACGGGGACUGCAAAGAGGAAAUUUUGAAAAACGCCUGCGUUACCGAAGAAGGCUAUUUUGUUGCACCGCCAGGAAAUAUUCCUCUCAAGAGUAGAGGGGAUUUGUUAUUUGAAAACGAAAGCAAUUCAGUCAAAAAUUAAGUACAAUGUUCAACUCGAUUAUUGCCCUAAGUGAAAAGCAUGGACUUUUGCGAAAAUUUGUAUUUCCUAGAAUGAAAAUUGAACAAUUGAAGGUGGGCCCCGUUGGCUAUCUGUUGUUGCACCAGUUGAGAAACGAAUGGUUCAAUCACAUGAUCAUAAAUAAAGAAACCAGUGUCUUUAUUUCAGAUAAUGACUUUGAGGGAACUUUUCAAUUUGCAAAGCGUCUAUGUUUAGAUAGGUUGCCAUUCGGUAUUGCGGAAAUAAUUCAAAAUAAACGAAUCAGUAAUGAAAAUCUGAUUCUGGAACAUUACGUAGAAAGAAUGAAUAGCAAUGAUAUUGAUUUUGAAGCCUAUUUUGGUAAUGAAGACAGUUUAACUCUGAAGUGUACCAUUUUUACUACUCCAACGAAUUCAGUUCCUUUUUUCCAUCAGUGGCAACGGGAUCGAAGAAUAUGGUGGCGCAAGUUUUCCGCAAGUCCAGGCCGGUAUUCGGUUACCGACAUAAAAACCGAGACAAACAACACACAGACCGUCCAAAUCAGGGCUAACUAUCCAUGGAAAUCGCAUAUUGUUGAAACUUUGGCCUUACAUACCGGGCCAAAGUAUGUUAGUGAAGCAGAUAAGUUUAAAGAUGGGAAGAAGACGAUUCCUAGCAGUAGUAUAAUCAGCACCAUUCACUUGAAUACUUUGUUUAUGAAUACUAUUUGUGAUGCGUAUGAUGAAUCUGAGUAUAAAGGAAACAAAAGGGCGUUAUUACGAUUCCAUCGGAAACUUGCUCCUUAUAGCAUUAGCUUUGCCAUAGCGAGUGGAGGAGUUGCUGCCAUAGUACAGGAAUUAAAUGACCUGGCUUUGCAUUUAACUGAACAAUUCCGCACGAAUCAUUUAUCGACAUUAUUUUUGCCGAGGUCUUCAAAACUUUCUCUUGAAGCUCAAUGGAGGCAGUAUGAUGAAAUGGGGAUACCUUAUAAUGUAGUGUUAAAUGAGAGAACACUCAAGGAUGGUUUGGUGCAUCUUAGAAACAGAGACACAACAUUAAAGGAACAGGUACAUGUUAGUGAAUUGGUGGCCUACGUGGAGCAACUAUUUAAAAACUAUUGAGUUUUCAGAAAAUAACAAAUAUAUGUCAAUUGUUCAUUACU